CCACAUCACGAAAGUGGAUUGUACUAGAAGUCUGCAGGCUGACCGCAAGGAGGCAGCGGCCCAAGGUAUGAUCCAUGAUUGGGGUG
rnacentral:rRNA from 1 species